UACGUAGGGUGCAAGCGUUGUCCGGAAUUAUUGGGCGUAAAGAGCUUGUAGGCGGUUUGUCGCGUCUGCUGUGAAAUUUCGGGGCUCAACCCCGAACUUGCAGUGGGUACGGGCAGACUAGAGUGUGGUAGGGGAGACUGGAAUUCCUGGUGUAGCGGUGAAAUGCGUAGAUAUCAGGAGGAACACCGGUGGCGAAGGCGGCUUUCUGGACAGAAACUGACGCUGAUGCGCGAAAGCUAGGGGAGCAAACAGG
rnacentral:rRNA from 1 species